UGGAGGAAGUUGAAAAGUACUUUGAAGAGAGAGUUCAAGAGGACGUGAAACCGGUAGGAUGGAAACGGAUAGAGCCAACGAACAAGCCCGUAUUCAGCUAGUCGGCUGCGUGCGGCAUGCCUGUGUGCUCGUUCAGGGUGCAUGGGUGUGUGCGGUAUGCGGUCGGCUAGUGCAUUUGCGGGUGAUGUGCGCUGAGGCGUGUGGCGGAGUCCUGCAAACUGUCUGGAGAGGCCUCGCCUUCGGGCUUGAAACCUACAGGCGGGGAGUCGGGUUUCUGCUGCAUGUAGACGAAGCGGCUAGGUGCAAACGCGCUGUCGUGCUGCCGGGCUAGCUGCUUGGCCGGUCGCAUGCGACUAGGUCUUGUUGGUUGGUCUUGGUGGUACGGCAGUGCCCUGGUCGACCCUCGGUGUAAAAGUUGGUCAUCUCUCCGACCCGUCUUGAAACACGGACCAAGGAGUCUAGCGUAUGCGCGAGUCAUUGGGUGGAAAACCCAUAGGCGAAAUGAAAGUGAAGGUCUCUUCAUGAGGCUGAUAUGCGAUCCGUUGCACUACGGUGUACGCGGAGCAGCAUAGCCCCGUCUCGACUGCUUGCAGUGGGGCGGAGGUAGAGCGUAUACGCUGGUACCCGAAAGAUGGUGAACUAUGCCUGAGCAGGAUGAAGCCAGAGGAAACUCUGGUGGAGGUCCGAAGCGCUUCUGACGUGCAAAUCGAUCGUCUGACUUGGGUAUA
rnacentral:rRNA from 1 species